rnacentral:rRNA from 1 species
UACGGAGGGUGCAAGCGUUGUUCGGAAUCACUGGGCGUAAAGAGCGUGUAGGCGGCCAGGUAGGUCUGCUGUGAAAACUCGAGGCUCAACCUCGAGACGUCGGCGGAAACCAUCUGGCUAGAGUCCGGAAGAGGAGAGUGGAAUUCCUGGUGUAGCGGUGAAAUGCGCAGAUAUCAGGAAGAACACCCGUGGCGAAGGCGGCUCUCUGGGACGGUACUGACGCUGAGACGCGAAAGCGUGGAGAGCGAACAGG